rnacentral:rRNA from 1 species
UACGGGGGGGCAAGCGUUGUUCGGAAUUACUGGGCGUAAAGGGUUCGUAGGUGGCCAACUAAGUCAGACGUGAAAUCCCUCAGCUUAACUGGGAACUGCGUCUGAUACUGAUUGGCUUGAGUGCAGGAGAGGAACGCGGAAUUCCAGGUGUAGCGGUGAAAUGCGUAGAUAUCUGGAGGAACACCGGUGGCGAAGGCGGCGUUCUGGACUGCAACUGACACUGAGGAACGAAAGCCAGGGAGCAAACGGG